rnacentral:rRNA from 1 species
UUAGAUACCCUGGUAGUCCACGCGGUAANCGAUGAUUACUAGGUGUCGGGGAGGAAUGACUGCCCGGUGCCGUCGCAAACGCAGUAAGUAAUCCACUGGGGGAGUACGUUCGCAAGAAUGAAACUCAAAGGAAUUGACGGGGACCCGCACAAGCGGUGGAGCAUGUGGUNUAUUCGACGCAACGCGAAGAACCUUACCCGGCCUUGACAUCCCCUGAAUAGAGGGUAAUGCCUCUAGCCNUACGGGGCAAGGGAGACAGGUGGUGCAUGGUUGUCGUCAGCUCGUGUCGUGAGAUGUUGGGUUAAGUCCCGCAACGAGCGCAACCCCCUGCCCCCAGUAGCCAGCAGGUAAAGCUGGGCACUCUGGGGGGACUGCCCGGGAGAACCGGGAGGAAGGCGGGGAUGACGUCAAAUCAUCAUGCCCCUUAUGGCCGGGGCUACACACGUGCUACAAUGGCGCCAACAGAGGGAGGCAAGCCGGCGACGGCAAGCGAAUCCCAAAAAAGGCGUCCCAGUUCGGAUUGCAGCCUGCAACUCGGCUGCAUGAAGCUGGAAUCGCUAGUAAUCGCGGAUCAGAAUGCCGCGGUGAAUACGUUCCCGGGUCUUGUACACACCGCCCGUCACACCAUGGGAGUCGGAAAUGCCCGAAGUCAGCGGCCUAACCGAAAGGAGGGAGCUGCCGAAGGCAGGUCUGGUAACUGGGGUGAAGUCGUAACAAGG